ensembl:miRNA
UAUGGCUUUUUAUUCCUACGUGAGGGUAGAUGUGUUCAUGUAGGGAUAGAAGCCACU